rnacentral:rRNA from 1 species
ACGAACGCUGGCGGCGUGCUUAACACAUGCAAGUCGAACGGAAAGGCCCCUUUGGGGGUACUCGAGUGGCGAACGGGUGAGUAACACGUGAGUAACCUGCCCUUGACUCCGGGAUAACUUCAGGAAACUGGGGCUAAUACCGGAUAGGAAUCCUUGCUGCAUGGUGGGGGUUGGAAAGCUUCGGCGGUUGUGGAUGGACUCGCGGCUUAUCAGCUUGUUGGUGGGGUAGUGGCUUACCAAGGCUUUGACGGGUAGCCGGCCUGAGAGGGCGACCGGCCACAUUGGGACUGAGAUACGGCCCAGACUCCUACGGGAGGCAGCAGUGGGGAAUAUUGCACAAUGGGCGGAAGCCUGAUGCAGCAACGCCGCGUGCGGGAUGACGGCCUUCGGGUUGUAAGCCGCUUUCAGCAGGGGCGAAGCUUGUGGUGACGGUACCUGCAGAAGAAGCACCGGCUAACUACGUG